AUUGAACGCUGGCGGAAUGCUUUACACAUGCAAGUCGAACGGCAGCACGGGGCAACCUGGUGGCGAGUGGCGAACGGGUGAGUAAUACAUCGGAACGUGCCCAAUCGUGGGGGAUAACGUAGCGAAAGUUACGCUAAUACCGCAUACGAUCUACGGAUGAAAGCGGGGGAUCGCAAGACCUCGCGCGAAUGGAGCGGCCGAUGUCAGAUUAGGUAGUUGGUGGGGUAAAGGCUCACCAAGCCAACGAUCUGUAGCUGGUCUGAGAGGACGACCAGCCACAACUGGAACUGAGACACGGUCCAGACUCCUACGGGAGGCAGCAGUGGGGAAUUUUGGACAAUGGGCGCAAGCCUGAUCCAGCCAUUCCGCGUGCAGGAUGAAGGCCUUCGGGUUGUAAACUGCUUUUGUACGGAACGAAACGGUCUGCCCUAAUACGGUGGGCUAAUGACGGUACCGUAAGAAUAAGCACCGGCUAACUACGUG
rnacentral:rRNA from 1 species